rnacentral:rRNA from 1 species
GGGGGUACGUGCGCGAUGCUAUACUGCAAGUCGAACGAACUUCCGUUAAUUGAUUAUGACGUACUUGUACUGAUUGAGAUUUUAACACGAAGUGAGUGGCGAACGGGUGAGUAACACGUGGGUAACCUGCCCAGAAGUAGGGGAUAACACCUGGAAACAGAUGCUAAUACCGUAUAACAGAGAAAACCGCAUGGUUUUCUUUUAAAAGAUGGCUCUGCUAUCACUUCUGGAUGGACCCGCGGCGUAUUAGCUAGUUGGUGAGGUAAAGGCUCACCAAGGCAGUGAUACGUAGCCGACCUGAGAGGGUAAUCGGCCACAUUGGGACUGAGACACGGCCCAGACUCCUACGGGAGGCAGCAGUAGGGAAUCUUCCACAAUGGACGCAAGUCUGAUGGAGCAACGCCGCGUGAGUGAAGAAGGGUUUCGGCUCGUAAAGCUCUGUUGUUAAAGAAGAACGUGGGUAAGAGUAACUGUUUACCCAGUGACGGUAUUUAACCAGAAAGCCACGGCUAACUACGUGCCAGCAGCCGCGGUAAUACGUAGGUGGCAAGCGUUAUCCGGAUUUAUUGGGCGUAAAGCGAGCGCAGGCGGUCUUUUAAGUCUAAUGUGAAAGCCUUCGGCUCAACCGAAGAAGUGCAUUGGAAACUGGGAGACUUGAGUGCAGAAGAGGACAGUGGAACUCCAUGUGUAGCGGUGAAAUGCGUAGAUAUAUGGAAGAACACCAGUGGCGAAGGCGGCUGUCUGGUCUGCAACUGACGCUGAGGCUCGAAAGCAUGGGUAGCGAACAGGAUUAGAUACCCUGGUAGUCCAUGCCGUAAACGAUGAUUACUAAGUGUUGGAGGGUUUCCGCCCUUCAGUGCUGCAGCUAACGCAUUAAGUAAUCCGCCUGGGGAGUACGACCGCAAGGUUGAAACUCAAAAGAAUUGACGGGGGCCCGCACAAGCGGUGGAGCAUGUGGUUUAAUUCGAAGCUACGCGAAGAACCUUACCAGGUCUUGACAUCUUCUGACAGUCUAAGAGAUUAGAGGUUCCCUUCGGGGACAGAAUGACAGGUGGGUGCAUGGGUUGUCGUCAGCUCGUGUCGUGGAGAUGUUGGGGUUAAGUCCCCGCAACGAAGCGCAACCCUUUAUUACUAAUUUGCCAGCAUUAAAGUUGGGCACUCUAAUGGAGACUGGCCGGUGACAAACCCGGAAGGAAGGGUGGGGGACGACCUCCAAAUCAUCCUGGCCCCUUAAGGACCUGGGGCUA